ACCGGGUCCAACAUUUCCCCUACUCUCUUCAAAUUUCAAAUCUUUCUCCUACUGUUUUGCUAUCCCGAGACACUCACUCGAAUAUCAAGUGGUAAUACUAAUCGUCUUUUCCUUUAUCUCAUUCUUCUUUGCGAUCUUUUUUACUCUGAUAACAGUCAUUUGGGUGAAUAUAUAGUGUUGCAGUGAUUCAAAACCAAAACGCUAGAGCGAGAAAUUCAGGUAUCAAUAAAUAGAAGGAAAAGAAAUGAAGACGAAGAAGAAGAGGCAGAGGACAGAGAAAAGGAGAGGGACAGGCGACUUGCCUAAUUGUGUUCUGCUCCAGAUAAUGGAAUUUAUGAACACAAAAUAUUCUGUUCAAACUUGUGUAUUAUUGUCUAAACGAUGGAAGGACCUUUGAAAAUAUCUCACUAGUCUCUCUUUCAGCCGUUUCCAAAGAGAUAAUUUGUGUGGCCGUGGUUACUUUAUUACAAAUUUGUGUCUUGGGUUCUGUCUAGUCGAGAUGGUUCCGUCUCCCUUCUUAAUCUUAAUCUCUCUGGGCCGAUGGUUUGCAGGGGCGCCCAACCUCUUGAAUAAGCAAAAUACCCAGCGGCUGGCAAUCGAUGCAGAUUACAUUCCUGAUUGUUUUUUCCCUCUCAUCUUUUGCUGCCAGUUUUUGACCUUCCUUAAGCUUUCCAUUUAUUCCCAUUUGCCAAAAUCUCUGCAGUUUCCAGCAUUAAAAAGCUUGCAUCUUGUUAAUGUUGGAUUUACUGCAAUUGACCGUAGCUGUGCUGAGCCCUUUUCAACUUGUAACUCGUUGAAUACAUUCCUUUCCGCAGGAUGCAAAAGUCCUCUGCAUAUCUAUGCCAACCUUCAUAGUUUGACCCUUGUUAAUGCCACUCGAUAUUUUGCUCACGGAAUUGUGCUUUCUACUCCUAACCUUAGAUCUCUCACUGAUAUGUCAUCUUAUUUACCAACUCUUUGUAUGCAAUCUUUCUUUCCUCAAACAAGUAAAAAUUGAUGUGUAAACCUAUUUUCAUACUCAUUUUGAGAAGCAACAUUUAGCCCUUAUUAGUUUGCUGUACGUGCUCGCAGAUUAUGUAAAGACACUGAUACUCUCUUUGAGUACCCUUGAGAUUUUAAAUUAAGUUACUUUAUUUUAUUCUCUUUAUUUUUACUAUUGAAGUUUUGAAAUUGCUCAUAAUAUCAUUA